rnacentral:rRNA from 1 species
AAUCAACGCUGGCGGCGUGCCUCAGACAUGCAAGUCGAACGCGAAAGUCCCCUUCGGGGGACAAGUAGAGUGGCGCACGGGUGAGUAACACGUAGGUAAUCUACCUUCGGAUGGGGAAUAACAACCGGAAACGGUUGCUAAUACCGCAUAAUGCAGCGGCACCUAAUGGUGACAGUUGUUAAAGCGGGGGAUUGAAAGACCUCGCGUCUGAAGAGGAGCCUGCGGCGGAUUAGCUUGUUGGAGGGUAACGGCCUACCAAGGCGACGAUCCGUAGCCGGCCUGAGAGGGCGGUCGGCCACACUGACACUGACAUACGGGUCAGACUCCUACGGGAGGCAGCAGUCGGGAAUUUUGGGCAAUGGGCGAAAGCCUGACCCAGCAACGCCGCGUGAAGGAUGAAAUCCCUCGGGAUGU